rnacentral:misc_RNA from 1 species
UUUAGACGAUGUGGUAAUGGGUGGAGUGAGUGAAAGUUCAUUCCAAAUCGACAUGAAAGGUGGUGAAAAUGGUGGACCAACUGGAGUUUUUAAAGGUGUUGUUUCAACUACAAACAAUGGUGGCUUUACUAGUAUUCGAACAAGGAAUUUUUCUGUUCCAGAAGAUCUUUCUGCUUAUGAUGGAUUGGAGUUACGUCUCAAAGGUGAUGGCCGUCGGUAUAAACUGAUUGUGCGCACGAGCACAGAUUGGGAUACUGUUGGUUAUACAGCCGGCUUUGACACUGCAAAAGGCCAAUGG